rnacentral:rRNA from 1 species
AGCAGCCGCGGUAAUUCCAGCUCCAAUAGCGUAUAUUAAAGUUGUUGCAGUUAAAAAGCUCGUAGUUGAAUUUCGGGAUCAAGGAAUCGGUCAUGCCUCGGUAUGUACUGGUUUUAUUGGUUCUCACCUUCUAAAGAACCAUAAUGUCAUUCAUUUGAUGUUAUGGGGAAUUAGGACUGUUACCUUGAAAAAAUUAGAGUGUUUAAAGCAGGCUUACGCUUGAAUACAUUAGCAUGGAAUAAUGAAAUAGGACAUCAGAUUCUAUUUUGUUGGUUUCUAGGAUCGAUGUAAUGAUUAAUAGGGAUAGUUGGGGGCAUUAGUAUUCAAUUGUCAGAGGUGAAAUUCUUGGAUUUAUUGAAGACUAACUACUGCGAAAGCAUUUGCCAAGGAUGUUUUCAUUAAUCAAGAACGAAAGUUAGGGGAUCGAAGGCGAUCAGAUACCGUCGUAGUCUUAACCAUAAACUAUGCCGACUAGGGAUCGGAUGAUGUUAAUUUUAUAAUGACUCAUUC